GCGCCCGUAGCUCAACGGAUAGAGCAUCUAACUACGGAUCAGAAGGUUGGGGGUUCGAAUCCCUCCGGGCGCA
rnacentral:tRNA from 1 species